rnacentral:rRNA from 1 species
GACUACAGGGGUAUCUAAGCCUGUUCGCUCCCCACGCUUUCGUAUCUCAGCGUCAGUUACAGUCCAGAAAGUCGCCUUCGCCACUGGUGUUCUUCCUAAUCUCUACGCAUUUCACCGCUACACUAGGAAUUCCACUUUCCUCUCCUGCACUCUAGAUAUUCAGUAUCAAAUGCAGCUCCCAGGUUAAGCCCGGGGAUUUCACAUCUGACUUAAAUAUCCGCCUACAUACUCUUUACGCCCAGUAAUUCCGGACAACGCUUGCCACCUACGUAUUACCGCGGCUGCUGGCACGUAGUUAGCCGUGGCUUCCUCCUUGGGUACCGUCAUUAUCGUCCCCAAAGACAGGGCUUUACAAUCCGAAAACCUUCAUCACCCACGCGGCGUUGCUGCGUCAGGGUUUCCCCCAUUGCGCAAUAUUCCCCACUGCAGCCGCCCGUAGG